rnacentral:rRNA from 1 species
GAUGAACGCUGGCGGCGUGCCUAAUACAUGCAAGUCGAGCGAACGGACGAGAAGCUUUCUUCUCUGAUGUUAGCGGCGGACGGGUGAGUAACACGUGGAUAACCUACCUAUAAGACUGGGAUAACUUCGGGAAACCGGAGCUAAUACCGGAUGAUAUUUUGAACCGCAUGGUUCAAAAGUUAAAGACGGUCUUGCUGUCACUUAUAGCUGGAUCCGCGCUGCAUUAGCUAGUUGGUAAGGUAACGGCUUACCAAGGCAACGAUGCAUAGCCGACCUGAGAGGGUGAUCGGCCACACUGGAACUGAGACACGGUCCAGACUCCUACGGGAGGCAGCAGUAGGGAAUCUUCGGCAAUGGGCGAAAGCCUGACGGAGCAACGCCGCGUGAGUGAUGAAGGUCUUCGGAUCGUAAAACUCUGUUAUUAGGGAAGAACAUAUGUGUAAGUAACUGUGCACAUCUUGACGGUACCUAAUCAGAAAGCCACGGCUAACUACGUG